GGCAGAAUAGCUCAGUUGGUUAGAGCAUCUCCCAUGAUAUGAGAAGGUCCCAAGUUCAAAUCCUGGUUCAGCCA